ensembl:lincRNA
AAAGGGGAACCGCUGGCUUCCUGUGAGUGUGGGUUCUUCUCACCCCAGCCUGCAACAGGGAGGAAGCCAUUGACUUCAUCUGAGAGGCUGUACAUAAACAUCUCUGAACCUGGGGCUCCAAGGUCCUUUGCAUUGUGGAUCAGAAAGGCUCUCUCUAGUGACACAGAAGACCCCAUGUUGCUACUGCUAAGGCCACCAAGCUUCUGGUCUCCCAUGCCCCUCGGCUCCUGCCACAGCUGUGGAUCCGUGCCUCUCCUUUUGAGCUUACAGGGUUCACAGCACAUGCUUUGCAGCUGCACCACCCAGCUAGAGGCUAGAGGAGUGCAGCAAGCUGAGAGCAUUUCCGCCCACAUCAGAAGGCAGAGAGAAGUUUGCGGAGAGCUACAAUGAGCCCUCCACCAACUGCUUUACAUCUUCUAGGCCAAGAUUUCUCAGUCUUUGCCAUGCAUCAUUGGAUGGGAGACCACAUGGACAGAGCUCUGUGGUGGGAGCUGGCCUUAAAAAAAAUGCAUGGGUUUUAGGCAACCAAUGCCUCUGGCCAAGAGAGAGACCUUCUGAAUGGUUUGGAUCUCAGCGACACAUUGCAUCUCUGUAAUGACCUGUUGUAAAACCAGAGAAACUGAAGAAGAGGAGGAGGAAUAGGAAGAAAAGAACAAGAAGGAAGAAAAAGAAU